rnacentral:misc_RNA from 1 species
GGCAGCUUAUGCAGAUUGCCUCGGGCACAAAACAUUCCUUCAGUUGAACAACAGCAACCUUAUUAUUUGGAAUAGUAGUCUUAAUAAAGAAAAUCUCUUUUAAUUCUAAGCUUCAAUUUGAUAAGGCACCUAAUACCUUACUAUUGAAGAGUUACAGGAACUAAGGAGCAAUAUGAUCAACGUUUAUAUAUGGGCUCACCCCCUUCUUUUCCAAUAAAACUAUUCUCCAUAAAGAAGAAAAGCAGUAGUGGUGGAAUUAUACUUUAUAAUUCACAGAUUAUCAAUAUAUUGUUCCAAAUUUGAGGAAGGCAUCAUAUCAUUGGCAUU